rnacentral:lncRNA from 1 species
UGUUGGUUCACAGACGUCACUGAACCAAGCUCCCCCUCUAGAGAUGGGCACUUUUAAAACCAAAAUGUUUAUUUUACACAACUAAACUAUGAAAAACUGGACCUGAAUUUACAUCAAACCCUUGUUUUCUAGAAAAAGAUACGAGUUCUGCAGCUGCUGAGAAACCCGGUAAGCCGGGUCAGAGAGCUCACAGAAGCAAGGCUCCUGUCCCCCACAGGAAUCCAAAUCAAAGAUCAAAUCCGUCAAAUGCGCAGAGAAAGGCUGCAGGGAAUCAAAGGUGAGU